AACACGAAGCGAGCAAUCUGUGCUCUCAAAACAAGCUAACACGAUGAUAUCGCAGACCCCCUGCUCGGCUGGAGAUUGCUGGAUAAUGUAUGGUGUUCUGGCAUUUCGGUUUUGCUAAUCAGAUGAAGCUUGCGGAUCUGUUAAUGCAUUGGACUGGAAUACGCCUAACCUCGUGACGGGGAUGCUUGGAUAAAGCAUUUGCGAGGUUGUGCUGUUUGGACACAAAAGGGGUUUGAUAAGGCUUCUGUGGGGUCACUGUGACCUCAUUAUGGUUUAAGGGAAGUGCUGUUUUUGUAAAUGGGUUGGUUUUCAGAUAAAGGAAUAAAGUACCUGGCAGGUUCUCUAAGACGCAUGCCUGCAUACAGCGUUAAAUGAGCAUGUAAAUUAGAUGGCUCUUAUUAUAAAAGGGCAAAUCUGAUGAACAGAUCCCGAGAGCUUUCUCCAGAAUGACGCCUUUCUCUUCUGCUGCUCAUCUUAUCAGGGCAGGAGAAGGAGGCCGGGCGGCCGGGAAGGAUAAUGAACCGCUGAUAGCGCUGCGCUGCUUGCACCCGCAGCUUUGAUGCCGGCAAUGAGCUGCCAUCCUUUCACCCAGAGCCAGUAAAUCUGUGUGUAAUUGCAAAGUUUAGGACAGCUAAACUUUGCAUGGCAGAACCCACCCCCGGGCCCUGGGAGGUGAUUAUUUGAGUCGAGGUCAACGUGGAGAUCGUGGAGAUUUUUGGCAGGGCUUGUGUGUUGUGUCCUGUCAGAGCUACCCUGGGCAGGAGGGUCUCACCUGGGCUUAUUUCAAAGUAGUAAUCACAUGGGAAUGUAAUUCACACAUUUGCAUGGGAAACCCUCUCUAGCACCCCCAAAAUUGCCCCCAGGAGCAUCCCAGUGCCCAGGGCUGCCAUGAGCCGAGGUAGAGAACAAGUCAAGAGCCAUCUCCUUGCGUUUGGCCAAGUCCCCGGAGUGACACUGCACUGCCUUUUUCCUGCCUAGAAUAAUCUUGCCUAUUAAACACCAGCCCUGGACCUUCUUGGCCUGAUGGUAUCACUUCAGAGGCAGCAGACGAUUCCCCUUGAGCUUUCUGCUUGCUGGAACAAACUGUGUUUCAGCUCAGCCUGUGCGUGCCGCCUGCUGUGCUCCAGCCCAGCUGAGGCGCAAAGGCUCUGUGGAUGUCGGCAAAAUCCCAUUUAUCUUUUCUGAACGACGGUGGUUGGGAGGGAUAUUAAAACAACCAGCAUGUCCGUCCCAUUUAGAAGCAGGUUAGAGCACUUCUCACACACAGGGGACCGAUUUCUCUGAAGAUGUUUUUUGUUAGCAGUCCCCAAAGUGAAGAUGAAAAGCCUGCUUCUCAGCGGCUGGAUUUCUGGCUCCGGUGGGCACCCCCUUUGAUUUAUCAGAAAUACUUCAGCAGAGAGGAGAAGGAGAGCCCUGGAAGCUGACAGAGCGGGACUGUCCUCAUGGCACCUGUGCUGCAUCCCCCAGGUGAAGCUGAAAAGGGCACGAGGGCCUGAGACAGGUCUCCAGCCAGCAGCUCCGAGCAGCAACCGGGGAGUCUGCAAAACAGGCAUCCAGCCCGGAAUAUUGUGUGCACCGUCUCAGUGCAGCACUGUAAUUAAAAGACAUGCUUG